CCUUUGGACUAGCUGAGAGGAGGUGCAUGGCCGUCGUCAGUUCGUACUGUGAAGCAUCCUGUUAAGUCAGGCACGAGCGAGACCCACGCCAACAGUUGCCAGCUCGUCCUCCGGGAUGGUGGGGACACUGUUGGGACCGCCUCUGCUAAAGAGGAGGAAGGAAUGGGCAACGGUAGGUCAGCAUGCCCCGAAUUAUCUGGGCUACACGCGGGCUACAAUGGGUGGGACAAUGGGUAUCGACACCGAAAGGUGAAGGCAAUCUCCUAAACCCAUCCGUAGUUCGGAUUGUGGGCUGCAACUCGCCCACAUGAAGCUGGAAUCCGUAGUAAUCGCGUUUCAACAGAACGCGGUGAAUACGUCCCUGCUCCUU
rnacentral:rRNA from 1 species